CCAUUGAAGAACUUCAUGAAAGGUUGAGGGACAUGAAAACCCAUCUGGGUGGAGUGUCGUGUGAAGAUAUGGUUCCGUUGGAGUUGAUUCAGCCGAAAUCCACGCCGGUUGCAGAUGCUGUUAAAAUUUUGCAAUCUAGAUGGUCAAAUAUUGUGGGCAUAUAGAAGAUAAAUGUAUAAAAACUCAAGUGGAGAAUUUGGUCAAAGGAAAACUACAAAUUGAGAACCAGGAGAUGGGAGAAGCUUGGAGGCAUCAGGUUGCAAAAGGAAGGUUGGAGUUGGUUCAGAGGUGGUUGAUAAGGUUGAUGCGAUAUUUGAGGUGGCAGUUCCGACAAAGGAGGCUGAAAUAAGUGUUGUAGAAGCUAAAGGGGAUGUUUUUGUAGUGAAGACUCAUCAAGUGGAGGUCCACACUCUAGUUGGGGCUGAGGUGAUCCUUCAGCUGGAUAUCCAAAAUGCAGAACAAGGGCACUCUGAGCCUAUAACUGUUACUCUGGGGGUUGUUCUUGGCCAUGGUCUUGGACAGGCUGAUGCUGGUCUAAGUCAAUCAACAGGGAAGCAAACUCCAAAGCCAGGUACGUCACUGGGGAAUGAGUUCUCUACAUCAUCUCUUGCAAAUAAUGGUGCAGAAGGCUCUCUUGCACAUUCAGAGAUACCUACUGUUUAUGUUUCUGAUACCAGGAGUGAAGAAGAGGGACCUCAUAUUUCUGUUGUUUCUAAUAGUGAUGGAGGAUUUCAUAUUGAUAAUAGAAGGUUAGACAUAGAAGUGAAGAUCUUUUUCCUUUUUUCCUUUUAGUUGUAGCCAAGGCAUUAUCUCACCUGAAGUGUUUAUUGGAUUAAUAUGGUUUGAAAUUUGGUAAGUUUUAGGAAGGGGAGGUCGUUCCUUUCUUGGAAAUUUUAGACAUGUAUGAGUUAACCACAAGAUUUGGUAAAAUUUUAGUUGCCUGUUCUUUUUAUUUU